rnacentral:rRNA from 1 species
UACGAGGGGUGCGAAGCGUUGCUCGGAAUUAUUGGGCGUAAAGGGUAGGUAGGUGGUCUCAUUUGUCUGGGGUGAAAGCCUUGAGCUUAACUCAAGAAGUGCCCCAGAAACGGUGAGACUCGAGUCUUGGAGAGGUCGUGGAAUUCCCGGUGUAGCGGUGAAAUGCGUAGAGAUCAGCAGGAACACCCGUGGCGAAGGCGGCCCCUGGCCGUACCUGACGCUGAGGCGCGAAGGCUAGGGGAGCGAACGGG